UGGGGAAUAUUGCACAAUGGGCGAAAGCCUGAUGCAGCAACGCCGCGUGAGUGAUGAAGGUCUUCGGAUUGUAAAGCUCUGUCUUUUGGGACGAUAAUGACGGUACCAAAGGAGGAAGCCACGGCUAACUACGUGCCAGCAGCCGCGGUAAUACGUAGGUGGCGAGCGUUGUCCGGAUUUACUGGGCGUAAAGGGUGCGUAGGCGGAUGUUUAAGUGAGAUGUGAAGUACCCGGGCUUAACUUGGGUGCUGCAU
rnacentral:rRNA from 1 species